rnacentral:rRNA from 1 species
AUUGAACGCUGGCGGCAGGCCUAACACAUGCAAGUCGAGCGCGAAAGUUCUUCGGAAUGAGUAAAGCGGCGGACGGGUGAGUAAUACAUGGGAAUCUGCCUGGUAGUGGGGGACAACGUUUCGAAAGGAACGCUAAUACCGCAUACGCCCUACGGGGAAAGGGGGGAGUCGCAAGACCUCUCGCUAUCAGAUGAGCCCAU